AGAAAAGUAGGUGCUGCCCCGCACAGGGGCAACGCUAAUAGACCACUAACAAUUCAAGGAAAGGCCAACAACCCUAAGACCAAGACCAAAACCAAACCACGC
rnacentral:sRNA from 1 species